GACGAACGCUGGCGGCGUGCUUAACACAUGCAAGUCGAACGGAAAGGCCCUGCUUUUGUGGGGUGCUCGAGUGGCGAACGGGUGAGUAACACGUGAGUAACCUGCCCUUAACUUUGGGAUAACUUCAGGAAACUGGGGCUAAUACCGGAUAGGAGCUCCUGCUGCAUGGUGGGGGUUGGAAAGUUUCGGCGGUUGGGGAUGGACUCGCGGCUUAUCAGCUUGUUGGUGGGGUAGUGGCUUACCAAGGCUUUGACGGGUAGCCGGCCUGAGAGGGUGACCGGCCACAUGGGGACUGAGAUACGGCCCAGACUCCUACGGGGGGCAGAAGUGGGGAAUAUUGCACAAGGGGCGGAAGCCUGAUGAAGCAACGCCGCGUGCGGGAGGACGGCCUUCGGGUGGUAAACCGCUUUCGCCUGUGACGAAGCGUGAGUGACGGUAAUGGGUAAAGAAGCACCGGCUAACUACGU
rnacentral:rRNA from 1 species